GCUGACGAGUGGCGCACGGGUGCGUAACGCGUAUACAAUCUACCUCUUACUGGGGAAUAGCCUUUGGAAACGAAGAAUAAUACCCCAUAGUAUCUAAAUUUCGCAUGUUAUUUAGAUUAAAGCCUCGGCGGUAAGAGAUGAGUAUGCGUUCUAUUAGCUAGAUGGUGUGGUAACGGCACACCAUGGCAACGAUAGAUAGGGGCCCUGAGAGGGGGAUCCCCCACACUGGUACUGAGACACGGACCAGACUCCUACGGGAGGCAGCAGUGAGGAAUAUUGGACAAUGGGCGAAAGCCUGAUCCAGCCAUGCCGCGUGCAGGAAGACUGCCCUAUGGGUUGUAAACUGCUUUUAUACGGGAAGAAACCCAUCUACGUGUAGGUGGCUGACGGUACCGUAAGAAUAAGCAUCGGCUAACUCCGUGCCAGCAGCCGCGGUAAUACGGAGGAUGCAAGCGUUAUCCGGAAUCAUUGGGUUUAAAGGGUCCGUAGGUGGAUUAGUAAGUCAGAGGUGAAAGCCUGCAGCUCAACUGUAGAACUGCCUUUGAUACUGCUAGUCUUGAAUUAUUGUGAAGUGGUUAGAAUAUGUAGUGUAGCGGUGAAAUGCAUAGAUAUUACAUAGAAUACCGAUUGCGAAGGCAGAUCACUAACAAUAUAUUGACACUGAUGGACGAAAGCGUGGGGAGCGAACGGGAUUAGAUACCCCGGUAGUCCACGCCGUAAACGAUGGUCACUAGCUGUUCGGAUUUCGGUCUGAGUGGCUAAGCGAAAGUGAUAAGUGACCCACCUGGGGAGUACGUUCGCAAGAAUGAAACUCAAAGGAAUUGACGG
rnacentral:rRNA from 1 species